rnacentral:lncRNA from 1 species
CGAGACUCCAUGGGCGUAGGACUCUGAGCCAGGUGUGGGAUAUAAUCUCCUGGUAGGCAGUUUCCUGAGCCUGUUGGAAAAGCGCAGUAUUCGGGUGGGAGUGGCCCGAUUUUCCAGGUGCUGUCUGUCACCCCUUUCCUUGACCAGGAAAGGGAACUCCCUGACCCCUUGCGCUUCCCGAGGGAGGCAAUGCCUCGCCCUGCUUUGGCUGGUGCACAGUGUGCUGCAUCCACUGUCCUGCACCCACUGUCUGGCACUCCCUAGUGAGAUGAACCCGGUACCUCAGAUGGAAAUGCAGAAAUCACCUGUCUUCUGAGUCGCUUACGCUGGGAGCUGUAGACCGGAGCUGUUCCUAUUCGACCAUCUUGGCUCCUCCACCAUAAUUAAUACAAAAUAUUUGUGGACAUUUACCACCCAAUGGUGGGCAGGGGGAGCGCAUGCUGAAACAAUAUUAGCAUCUGCCUCAAAAAUGAAUCGUUAUUUUAAGAAGAUUAUGUCUGAAGACCACAAUUUAAUAGAUUUACAUUGAUCAUCCACUAUGUUCCAGAUACUACAUGAUACUAACAAGACAACAGGAGAAGUGAUAUCAAAAGACAACGACUACACCAAAAUUUGGAGAAAAAGGUGAAUCCAGACAGUCACAGAUUUUUAGUAGAGACUAUGGGCAUCAAGAAUCAUCUGCUCGAGCCAAAAUUCCUGGUGGAAGGUGUCUGCUUUAUGGCAUCAACUACUUCUGAGAAAUAUCUAGGUAUCCUCAUCUGGAGGUAACCCAAGAGUUUAGAUUGGCAUAUGGAAUUGAACAUGUUAAAUUGUAGACCAUGGACCCAAGUGUCAA